rnacentral:rRNA from 1 species
CAGACGGGUGAGUAACGCGUGGUCAACCUACCGUUGAGUGGGGGAUAACUAGCCGAAAGGUUAGCUAAUACCGCAUACGUCUCCGAGGGGCGAUCCCUUGGCGAUAAAAGGAGUAAUCCGCUCGAUGACGGGACCGCGUCCCAUUAGCUAGAUGGUGGGGUAACGGCCUACCAUGGCACCGAUGGGUAGCUGGUUUGAGAGAGCGACCAGCCACACUGGGACUGAGAAACGGCCCAG